rnacentral:rRNA from 1 species
UUCUCGUUGAUCCUGCCAGACCCGACUGCUAUCAGAGUGGGACUAAGCCAUGCGAGUCAACGCAGCAAUGCGUGGCAUACGGCUCAGUAACACGUAGUCAACAUGCCCAGGGGACGUGGAUAACCUCGGGAAACUGAGGAUAAACCGCGAUAGGCCAAGGUUUCUGGAAUGGACACUGGCUGAAACCUACAUGGCCCCUGGAUUGGACUGCGGCCGAUCAGGCUGUUGGUGAGGUAAUGGCCCACCAAACCUGUAACCGGUACGGGCUUUGAGAGAAGGAGCCCGGAGAUGGGCACUGAGACAAGGGCCCAGGCCCUAUGGGGCGCAGCAGGCGCGAAAAUUCUGCAAUAGGCGAAAGCUUGACAGAGUUACUCUGAGUGAUGCCCGCUAAGGGCAUCUUUUGGCACCUCUAAAAAUGGUGCAGAAUAAGGGGUGGGCAAGUCUGGUGUCAGCCGCCGCGGUAAUACCAGCACCCCGAGUGGUCGGGACGAUUAUUGGGCCUAAAGCAUCCGUAGCUUGUUCUGCAAGUCUUCCGUUAAAUCCACCUGCUCAACAGAUGGGCUGCGGGAGAUACUACAGGGCUAGGAGGCGGGAGAGGCAAGCGGUACUCAGUGGGUAGGGGUAAAAUCCUCUGAUCCACUGAAGACCACCAGUGGCGAAGGCGGCUUGCCAGAACGCGCUCGACGGUGAGGGAUGAAAGCUGGGGGAGCAAACCGGAUUAGAUACCCGGGUAGUCCCAGCUGUAAACGAUGCAGAUCGGGUGAAUGGGGUUGGCUUU